AACAGUCCUGCCGUGUCUUUU
rnacentral:misc_RNA from 1 species